rnacentral:tRNA from 1 species
GCCGCGGUCCCCUAAUGGUAUGGGGCGAGGUUUAGACCCUCGGCCUGAAAAGGUAUCCGGGUUCGACUCCCGGCCGCGGCG